rnacentral:lncRNA from 1 species
GAUUUCUUUUGAUUUCUUUUGAUAUUUUUUUUGUUUUGCACCCUCCUCUCUUUUUUAUUUUUUAUUUUUUUUUGUAUAUGCCCCAGUUGGCUGUUCUGCUGAUUCUCGAGAUGCAGCUGAGUGAUCUUCUUUUCUUGCUCAAGAAGUCGGGAAAUCUCGUCAGGAAUCCCUUCAACAUCAUCUUCUUCCGCAGAGUGAUCUUCUUUUCUUGCUCAAGAAGUCGGGAAAUCUCGUCAGGAAUCCCUUCAACAUCAUCUUCUUCCGCUUCGAAUACAGGGAAUUCAAAAUUGGGAGAUGACGUCUGAUCAUUAUGUUCAAUUGGUCUACG